rnacentral:rRNA from 1 species
UUGGUGAACCUGCGGAAGGAUCC